rnacentral:tRNA from 1 species
UCCCUGGUGGCUCAGAUGGUAAAGCCUCUGCCUGCAAUGAAGGAGACCCGGGUUCGAUUCCUGGGUUGGGAA